rnacentral:rRNA from 1 species
UACAGAGGUCCCAAGCGUUGUUCGGAUUCACUGGGCGUAAAGGGUGCGUAGGCGGUCGGGUAAGUCUGAUGUGAAAUCUCACAGCUUAACUGUGAAACUGCAUUGGAUACUAUCCGGCUCGAGGAAUGGAGGGGAGACUGGAAUACUUGGUGUAGCAGUAAAAUGCGUAGAUAUCAAGUGGAACACCAGUGGCGAAGGCGAGUCUCUGGACAUUUCCUGACGCUGAGGCACGAAAGCCAGGGGAGCAAACGGG